GCAGCAUAGGGCGGCCAGACCUGGGCGGACUCUUAAUCCGCGGGUUCGGGGUUCGACUCCCUGACGGCGCACC
rnacentral:tRNA from 1 species